CUGUGUGCUGGGAAGCUGAUCUACUUUACUGUACUUCGUUGGCAGAAGCCUUGAUGUGCUGCUAGCAGAUUUAUGCCUUGUUGAAACCCACCUCUUAUUGCCUCUGAGUUGAUUGGGGGAAAGGAGACUUGUUCGCUGGAAAAGAAACCCACUGCAAUGUGCCAUGCAUGCCAAGUCAGGGUGGGAGCUUGAAAGAAGAAUUUGGAAUCCUGACCUCUUUUCCUCAUCCGCUGCUUAUCUUCUGUCACUGAGUCAGCUGGGACAGGAAGCUUCAUACACUUUGGGUCAGAUGCUCUUUCCCUGAAGAGGAGGAGGAUAUUUAUAGCCGGGAGCUGGCAGAGCUAAUGACUCUGGAAGUGCCUUGGGACAGUAUCUCCGUGCGCACCGUGGCUCUGUUUGUGCCCACAUUAGCAUUUCUGCUGACUGCAAGGAUCGGUUUAAUUUCAUGGGUGUCAUUUCCUUCAAGAAAUCUCUCUCUGAGCAGCAGCCCGACGAAUGCCUGAUAAAACAUAUUUUCCUACGGGGGAGAAAGACAAUCAGGUUUUCUGGACUUGGCUCCAAGUCAGAUGUGAUUUGAUUUGGAUUGCAGACAGCCCGAGGAAGCGGCUUGGAGGCAUCUUGAAGGCUUGGAUCUGGUUUCUGGCCUCGCAGAAUGAAAAUCCGGAGACUGUGCUCACAUUUCAAUGGCUGGGGGUGAUCUUCGUUCUGUGGCAGGAGCCUGGAGCCCCUGUAUUGAUCUGCUCUGGUUUAUGAAGCCACCGACUAUUGGAAAAAAGAGUUUAUAAAUAACUACAGGCUUCCAUAUCACAAACGUUCCAGCAGGGCUGCUUUUGUUUAUCGCACAACACACAUUUUUGGAACUUUUUCUUCGCUGGGAGAUUGCAAGGGAGCUUGGAGUGCCAGUGUGGCUGCUGCAUUGUACUGUAUUGUACUGCGCAAAUGGCGUUUCCCCCCUUGGGACGGAGAGGUUUCUAGGUUUGUUUUUGUAGAUAAGAUAUAAACUCUGCAGUGGUUCUGCUAAUAAA